AUUUUAUGUUAAAACUCUGCCCGCCCUCUUCAAGAACAUACACUGCCCCGCGAGUAUUAAAAGCCCCCGAUUUUCCAGUACUUUAUGAUUUCUAUGAUUUCACAGAGCUCUAUGUUGGUAAUAGACGUGGUAGUGGGAGAGACGGAUGCAUGGUCGGCGAAAGGCAGGGGUGCGAUCCCGGGGUGCGAUGAGGGAGAAAGGUGCCCAAAUUUGCAGGCUGGAUACGGUAUAUCCCGAACUCGACUUGGACUAAGUACAGCUCGAGGUCACUGUAUGGUGAAUUGUGUAUCUUGAUAAAAAAAUGUCCCAAGGACUAUGUACUACUCUGUGGAUAUCUGAUGGU